UAUCAGAGCAGUGUCUGUUGUCCUUCCAUGGAAGUGGGCAGCAUCCAGACAAACAAUAAAACAUUUUUUAAUAUAAGUUGCUGCUUUGACAUAAUCACAGCACUGC